rnacentral:lncRNA from 1 species
CCAACUAAAUGAAAAGGGGAAACAUAAUUAAAAAAUCCACAAACAAAUUAAAACAUUCACCCUCAGCCUCCUCCGAAGGAUUGGUUCCUUAUGAGAAAAAAAUCAUAACAAAUUAAAGCAUAUGCUCGUUGGUUUUAUACUUGCUUUAUCAUUGGCAGUACUUCUCUACCCCAAACAGACUUCACUGAAAAGAGAAAUUAGGGAGUAAGUACAAAAUUCAUUUCUUAAAAGCAUCACAGCUAUGAAUUUGGUUGACACUGCCCUGUUAAUAUGCCAAAGUUGGAGGUGGUUAGUAGAGCAUUUUGAUUCUGCUAUACACGGUGCAAGUUUUAAUGGUUUUUGUCAAUGGAAGUAGAGAAUGGGAAAGCCAGUAACUGGGGCACACAAAGAAAGACAAAACUUUGCAAAAUCAAAGGACCAUUUUGAGUACAAGAUCCUUUUGUCAAAAGCAAUAAAGGCUUCAGUUAUCUUGAGUAUCAUGCAAAAUUCUCAUAAAGAACCUAGAGGCAGGCACCAAACAUAUGGGGGUUAAGGCUUGUACAAAAUUGUUAUAUUUUCCUGUACUUUUUUUUUUUCAUCAGCCAAUCGAAG